CUAAAUUUAGUAGGGUAAAUCCAAAAUGGCCGCCAAAGAGGCGGAACAAGUUGGUUUGGACGAAGAAGACGAAGAAUUGCGCGAAGACCUUGCACCUGGUGAUUGUGGCACGGCAAUGUUAAUUGUAUCUGACUCUUAUGAAAAUUUAGCUGCAGAAGAUUAUGAGAAAAACCUUGUCAUUACGAAAAGAAAGGGACAUAUACAUGACAUUGUCCGCCAGUCUUCUCAAGAACAUGAUUCAUCAGGUGGUGAACAAAAUGUCCAAGUCAACAAUUUGGAUGCUGAAAAAGCAACACCAUCAGCAAGUGAAGAUUCAAGUGACCAGAGUGAUUCUGGAACAAAAGAGUUAAGUGGAGUGAUAGAUCACAUUAGUCGUACACAGAUACUUGAAGAAGAUGAAGAUGUCAAAACACCAGAAUGGAGGCAGCAAAGGAAACACGUGUUUAUACUUAGUGACUCAGGAAAACCGGUUUAUUCAAGAUAUGGUAAUGAAGAUAAACUUGUAACCAUAUUUGGUGUGAUGCAGGCUCUCGUAUCAUUCGUCCAAGAUUCUGCUCAUGAUACUUUGCGGUCCAUUGUUGUCGGUGACCACAGAAUUGUGUUUCUUCAACUGGAACACAUAAUCCUUGUUUGUGUAACACGGGGUGCCGAGUCAGAUAGACAGAUUAGAAUUCAGCUGCAUUAUUUAUAUAAUCAAGUGCUUAGUGUAUUGACUCUGAGUUCUUUAAAGAAAAUAUUCAAACAGAGGAGAAAUUAUGACUUGCGGCGACAACUAAGUGGGUCAGAGAAGUUUUUAGACAGUUUGUUAAACAUGAUGGAUACGGAGCCGGGAUUGUUACUUGGUGCAGUGCGCUGCCUGCCAUUAGAAAAUGCUACUCGUGAUAUGAUUGCUCAAAGUAUUGUCCAGCAUGGAAAGGUCAAGGACCUUGUAUUUGCACUGAUUAUAGCCAACAGUCAGCUUGUUACACUGGUCAGAAUGAAGAAAUACUUCCUUCACCCGAUGGAUCUUCAUCUUAUCAUAAAUCUUAUCAACUCUGCAGAGUCUUUCAAGGCGGCCGAGUCGUGGACACCCAUUUGUCUUCCCAAGUUUGACUCUUCGGGGUUUUUACAGGCUCAUAUAUCGUACCUAGAUGAGGAAUGUCAAACCUGUUUAUUACUGCUAUCUGUAGAUAGGGAUUCCUUCUUUACCUUGUCAGCAUGUAAAACCAGAGUAACUGAGAGACUGAUAAAGUACAAUGGUCUCAGAGCAAUAGCCGAUUCUUUAAGAAAAGACAGUUAUAAUAUUUCAAAAUGUGGGAUAUCGGAUUUACGCCAUUUCCUUUACAAGAAUAAAAGCACCGCCCAGUAUACUAGCCCAGAGCUUCAAGCACCGUACUUGACUCCAGAUCAGCAGGAGCGCUUGUUUGGUUUAUAUCACUAUCUGCACAAUAGAAUACAUUCCUCAUCUCGACCGCUGAAAAUUCUCUAUCAUGUAGGCCAGUACGAAGCUUUACUUGGAUGGGUAAAGUCACCAUAUGACCAAAAUUGUGCUUGUGUGACUUAAAACCAAACAAAGCAACAAAAGCGAAAGAAGAAAUCUGGUUUAUGUAAAUAUUCGUAAUAUGGAAUACAUAUAUGCCAUUGAUCUUUUCCGUGACUGGAGGAUUUGAACUGUACGCUGUGUUUGGACCAUUAGUUACAAAGUCACUAGCAAUUAAUGCCGUCAAUAAACUGAUGGCGUGGAUAAGGAAAGAAGCAAAUAGACUGUUUAUAUUGGAGUCUGUUACAUUCUAGUGGUAACUAGACAUUAGACAACUAAGAAAUAUAUGUGAUAAAAUAUAUGUGAGUCAUCACAAUUAAAGGAU
rnacentral:misc_RNA from 1 species